rnacentral:rRNA from 1 species
CCUACGGGUGGCUGCAGUGGGGGAUAUUGCACAAUGGGGGGAACCCUGAUGCAGCGACGCCGCGUGAGUGAAGGAGCGUUUCGGCGCGUAAAGCCCUAUCAGCAGGGAAGAAGAUGACGGUACCUGACCAAGAAGCCCCGGCUAACUACGUGCCAGCAGCCGCGGUAAUACGUAGGGGGCAAGCGUUAUCCGGAUUUACUGGGUGUAAAGGGGGCGUAGACGGCAAUGCAAGCCAGAAGUGAAAGCCCGGGGCUUAACCACGGGACUGCUUUUGGAACUGCAUGGCUGGAGUGCAGGAGGGGUAGGCGGAAUUCCUAGUGUAGCGGUGAAAUGCGUAGAUAUUAGGAGGAACACCAGUGGCGAAGGCGGUCUGCUGGACAGUAACUGACGUUGAGGCGCGAAGGCGUGGGGAGCAAACAGGAUUAGAUACCCUAGUAGUC